rnacentral:rRNA from 1 species
AUUGAACGCUGGCGGCAUGCUUUACACAUGCAAGUCGAACGGUAACAGGCCUUCGGGUGCUGACGAGUGGCGAACGGGUGAGUAAUGCAUCGGAACGUGCCCAGAGGUGGGGGAUAACGCAGCGUAAGCUGUGCUAAUACCGCAUGUGAUCUGAGGAUGAAAGCGGGGGACCAGGCAGCAAUGUUUGGCCUCGCGCCUUUGGAGCGGCCGAUGUCAGAUUAGGUAGUUGGUGGGGUAAAGGCCUACCAAGCCGACGAUCUGUAGCUGGUCUGAGAGGACGAACAGCCACACUGGGACUGAGACACGGCCCAGACUCCUACGGGAGGCAGCAGUGGGGAAUUUUGGACAAUGGGCGCAAGCCUGAUCCAGCAAUGCCGCGUGCGGGAAGAAGGCCUUCGGGUUGUAAAGCGCUUUUGUACGGAACGAAAAGGAUCUGGCUAAUACCUGGGGCUGAUGACGGUACCGUAAGAAUAAGCACCGGCUAACUACGUG